rnacentral:lncRNA from 1 species
UUUAUAGUAAUUGUCAUUAAAUUACAGUCUAGACUCAGUGAUUUAUUUUAACAACAUCCAAUAUCAAACCCAUAUGAAAACAUUAUUGUAAUCUGCUGUUGCUAAAUGUCUGCAAGCUUAUUGUUCCAGGGACAAAGUAUCACUGCAGCCAAGUAAUUACUUAGUUUUAAUGCAGAAUUUGUAACAGGAAAAGAGUAUUCACUGGGUCGUUUGUAAUAGCCUGUUUUUACUUUUUAACUGACAUCUUUAGACGAUGCAGCUGGGUCAUCAUUGUCAGACAGAGAGAAAUGCAGCUUGUAAUAGCUCGAUAAGGUUAUUUGCGGUUGGUUAAUACCAAUGCAGACAAUACUACGGGGACCUUCUGAAAAGAAAAUGAAACUCAAGCAGCUGUGGAAGGCAGGGAGGAUUAUCUGCAGGAUUUGCCCACAGCAGAACCCAACCUACUUCUGUGAUAGGACACAUAAGAUCUUACAAGGCAAGUGGUGCCGGCUAGCCAGAUGAAC